rnacentral:rRNA from 1 species
AGAAUCAACGCUGGCGGCGUGCCUAACACAUGCAAGUCGAACGAGAAAGUGGGAGCAAUCCCACGAGUAAAGUGGCGCACGGGUGAGUAACACGUGACUAACCUACCCUUGAGUGGGGGAUAACCUAGGGAAACCUGGGCUAAUACCGCAUAAUACCUACGGGUCAAAGGAGCAAUUCGCUUAAGGAGGGGGUCGCGGCAGAUUAGUUAGUUGGCGGGGUAAUGGCCCACCAAGACAGUGAUCUGUAUCCGGCCUGAGAGGGCGCACGGACACACUGGAACUGAAACACGGUCCAGACUCCUACGGGAGGCAGCAGUGGGGAAUUUUGCGCAAUGGGGGAAACCCUGACGCAGCAACGCCGCGUGGAGGAUGAAGCCCCUUGGGGCGUAAACUCCUUUCGAUCGGAAGAUAAUGACGGUACCGGAAGAAGAAGCCCCGGCUAACUUCGUGCCAGCAGCCGC